UACGGGGGGGGCAAGCGUUGUUCGGAAUUACUGGGCGUAAAGGGCUCGUAGGUGGCCAACUAAGUCAGACGUGAAAUCCCUCGGCUUAACCGGGGAACUGCGUCUGAUACUGGAUGGCUUGAGUUCGGGAGAGGGAUGCGGAAUUCCAGGUGUAGCGGUGAAAUGCGUAGAUAUCUGGAGGAACACCGGUGGCGAAGGCGGCAUCCUGGACCACGACUGACGCUGAGGAGCGAAAGCCAGGGGAGCAAACGGG
rnacentral:rRNA from 1 species